UUUAUUUAUAUACCUUGUGCUGUGAAUUAGUAUACUGUGGUGAAGGUUACAAGCAAAGGAUGUGUUUAGUAGCUAAGGUAAUACAAGUGAUAUUAUUGUUUGCCAGACGGAGAAUGUAGGGACGCCCUGGACUUCAUGUCGGUUGGUGUGUUGGUUGGUCCUCCGUGCUACAGGUUAGUUGUGUUUAUUUACCCGCCAUGUGCUGUGAUUAGUAUAAUUUGGUGAAGGUUACAAAUAGAGGAUGUAUUAGUAAGAUAGGGUAAUGUACAAGGGAUAUAUUGUUGCCAGACAGAGUUGUGAGGACGCCCUGGACUGGAUGAUAGUUGGGGUGGUGACAUGUCAGGUGUGCUACGGGGAUUCGAAGAGCGUCAGUGUGGGCCACUGAAGUCGAAACACUUCAAGCAAUAAACACCUGUUACGA